AAAUUGAAGAGUUUGAUCAUGGCUCAGAUUGAACGCUGGCGGCAGGCCUAACACAUGCAAGUCGAACGGUAACAGGAAGCAGCUUGCUGCUUUGCUGACGAGUGGCGGACGGGUGAGUAAUGUCUGGGAAACUGCCUGAUGGAGGGGGAUAACUACUGGAAACGGUAGCUAAUACCGCAUAACGUCGCAAGACCAAAGAGGGGGACCUUCGGGCCUCU
rnacentral:rRNA from 1 species